AAUAUUAUCUUUGCUGUGAGUGUCACAAGUAGGUAUCAAUCGAAUCUAAAUGAGGAGUACUGGAUAGUGGUGAAGAACAUCCUUAAGUACUUGAAAAGAACAUCCUGUACCUGGCGAUUUCCCCUGUGGCUCUCGCAGCAGUUCUAAUUAAAGAAGAAGCAAAAAUUCAACGACCGAUCUACUACAUAAGCCGAGUAUUGAGAGACACCGAAACUAGGUAUACUAAGUUAGAGAAACUAACUUACACCUUGUUGAUUGUAGCUCGAAGGCUCCGACCUUAC
rnacentral:lncRNA from 1 species